UACGAAGGGGGCUAGCGUUGCUUGGAAUCACUGGGCGUAAGGCGCACGUAGGCGGCUUUUUAAGUCAGAGGUGAAAUCCUGGAGCUCAACUCCAGAACUGCCUUUGAUACUGGAGAGCUUGAGUCCGGGAGAGGUGAGUGGAACUGCGAGUGUAGAGGUGAAAUUCGUAGAUAUUCGCAAGAACACCAGUGGCGAAGGCGGCUCACUGGCCCGGUACUGACGCUGAGGUGCGAAAGCGUGGGGAGCAAACAGG
rnacentral:rRNA from 1 species